GAUGAACGCUGGCGGCGUGCUUAACACAUGCAAGUCGAACGGAAAGGCUCCUUUUUGCAGGUGUACUCCAGUUGCUCACGGGUGAGUAACACGUGGGUCAUCUGCCCUGCACUUCGGCAUCAUCCUUGUAAGCUUGGUCUACUACCUGUUAUUCCCAUUGUUUGUAUGCCAUUGUGGCUAGUUUUUCGGUGUGUGAUGAGCUCGCUGGCUAUCAGCUUGUUGGUGGUGUAAUGGCUUACGAAGGCGUCGACGGGUAGCCGGCCUGAGGGGGUGUACGGCGACAUUGGGAAGGAGAUACGGGCAAGAAUCAGACGGGAGGAAGCAGUGAGGAAUAGUGGACAAAGGGAGCAAGGCUGAGGCAGCGACGACGGGUGGGGGAUGACGAACUUCGGGUGGUAGACUCCUUGCGCUAGGGUCGAAGCGGAAGUGACGGUACUUGGAGAAGAAGCACCGGCUAACUACGUG
rnacentral:rRNA from 1 species